CUCGAGGCGCGAGCAGUAGAACGAGCUCACGCUCCUGGCGGUUAGGACGCUUGCAGCCGUCGUCGCAAGGUCGGUCGUCUCUCGAAUAAAGUGGCGAGAUUUCGGCACGGCCACGUCGGCCGCCUUGACAAUUCGCUCACUCGCUGA
rnacentral:lncRNA from 1 species